AGUACCCUACGGGGCGCAGCAGUGAGGAAUAUUGGUCAAUGGUCGGGAGACUGAACCAGCCAAGCCGCGUGAGGGAUGAAGGUACAGAGUAUCGUAAACCUCUUUUGUCAGGGAACAAAGGCGGGGACGUGUCCCCGGAUGAGUGUACCUGAAGAAAAAGCAUCGGCUAACUUCGUGCCAGCAGCCGCGGUAAUACGGAGGAUGCGAGCGUUAUUCGGAUUUAUUGGGCGUAAAGG
rnacentral:rRNA from 1 species